GACGAACGCUGGCGGCGUGCCUAACACAUGCAAGUCAACUUGACUGAAGGAGCAAUCUGACAGUAGAGUGGCGCAAGGGUGCGUAACGCGUAAGUAACUUGCCCCAAGGUAAGGAAUAACGUCGAGAAAUCGGCGCUAAUACCUCAUAAUGCAGCGGAUCCGCAUGGAUAUGUUGUUAAAGGUUUACCGCCUUGGGAUAGGCUUGCGUCUGAUUAGCUAGUUGGUGUGGUAACGGCACACCAAGGCUACGAUCAGUAACUGGUCUGAGAGGAUGAUCAGUCACACUGGAACUGAGACACGGUCAGACUCCGUACGGGAGGCAGCAGUGAGGAAUA
rnacentral:rRNA from 1 species